rnacentral:rRNA from 1 species
UACAGAGGGGGCGAGCGUUAUUCGGAAUUAUUGGGCGUAAAGGGCGCGUAGGCGGCCUUUCAAGUGACGGGUGAAAUCCCUCGGCUUAACCGGGGAACUGCCUGUCAGACUGGAAGGCUUGAGACCGGGAGAGGUGAGUGGAAUUCCCAGUGUAGCGGUGAAAUGCGUAGAUAUUGAGAGGAACACCAGUGGCGAAGGCGGCUCACUGGACCGGUACUGACGCUGAGGCGCGAAAGCGUGGGGAGCAAACAGG